GAUGAACGCUGGCGGCGUGCUUAACACAUGCAAGUCGAACGGAAAGGCCCAAGCUUGCUUGGGUACUCGAGUGGCGAACGGGUGAGUAACACGUGGGUGAUCUGCCCUGCACUUCGGGAUAAGCCUGGGAAACUGGGUCUAAUACCGGAUAGGACCACUUCUUGGAUGUUGUGGUGGAAAGUUUUUUCGGUGUGGGAUGAGCUCUCGGCCUAUCAGCUUGUUGGUGGGGUAAUGGCCUACCAAGGCGUCGACGGGUAGCCGGCCUGAGAGGGUGUACGGCCACAUUGGGACUGAGAUACGGCCCAGACUCCUACGGGAGGCAGCAGUGGGGAAUAUUGCACAAUGGGCGCAAGCCUGAUGCAGCGACGCCGCGUGGGGGAUGACGGCCUUCGGGUUGUAAACUCCUUUCGCUAGGGACGAAGCGUUUUGUGACGGUACCUGGAGAAGAAGCACCGGCUAACUACGUG
rnacentral:rRNA from 1 species